UGGGUCGCGUUUUCGAUCCGGUGGUAGAUUCUGCGAAGCACUGCUCUUGCUAGGGCCAGUGUUAGCAACAUUCCAGUUUGAGCCCCGUGAGCUCACCUUCCUGUUAGGGUGAAGCUGAAAUAGACUCUCAAGGCAAUCAGCAUAGGUAGGAAGAAAAAAAAAAGCAGUCCCCUCUCCAAACGCAACAUUGACAUUGCGAGCUGUUUCAAAAUUCGUAGUAAAAAAUCACUCGAAUUUUCGAAGUAUUCAUGUUUCUUGUCUAAGCUGAAUAAAAAAAACAACUACCCGGCGGAGAAGAUCCGGCGAGAAACUCAGCGGGCUGAUCUUUAGGUCGACACCUUACAGCCACAAAGUUCAAUUUGAAUAGUAAGCUAGUUUUGUGGGAUGUCGGAAUAUAAUUGGUUGAAGACCAUUGAGAAAAACAACGGUUAUAAGGUGUGGUAGAUAUAUAGGCAUAAGUUACGAAGUGGUUACAUCACACACAGGCCAAGAACUAAUAUGCAGAUCUACAGCAAAUAGAACUAAUAACAAGAUAAAACCUACCUUAAUAUCAGCACCAGAAAGAUCAUCUUUUGACAUAAUAAGUUCAGACAAGUUCACAUCAUCAGCUAAUGUCAUUCUUGAUGUAUGAAUGGUGAAAAUCCUUCUCUUGGUUUUCUCGUCAGGCAAGGGGAAUUCAAUCUUCCUAUCAAUACGACCUGGUCGGAUAAGUGCCGGGUCUAAAGUUUCUAUACGGUUUGUGGCCAUGAUCACCUAAGAAUAGAUGUUAGAUUAAUUUUAAUUACCUUGAAUAAUAAAGCUAUUUUUGUUAAA